GAGGGCAUAACUCAGUGGUAGAGUAGCUGACUUUUAAUCAGUCUGUCGUAGGUUCGAAUCCUACUGUUCUUU